rnacentral:rRNA from 1 species
AACGAACGCUGGCGGCAGGCCUAACACAUGCAAGUCGAGCGAACCGCAAGGUUAGCGGCGGACGGGUUAGUAACGCGUGGGAACGUGCCCAAAGGUACGGAAUAGCCUCGGGAAACUGAGAGUAAUACCGUAUGUGCCCGAAAGGGGAAAGAUUUAUCGCCUUUGGAUCGGCCCGCGUUGGAUUAGGUAGUUGGUGGGGUAACGGCCUACCAAGCCGACGAUCCAUAGCUGGUUUGAGGGGAUGAUCAGCAACACUGGGGCUGAGACACGGCCCAGACUCCUACGGGAGGCAGCAGUGGGGAAUCUUAGACAAUGGGGGAAACCCUGAUCUAGCCAUGCCGCGUGAGCGAUGAAGGCCUUAGGGUUGUAAAGCUCUUUCACCGGGGAAGAUAAUGACGGUACCCGGAGAAGAAGCCCCGGCUAACUCCGUGCCAGCCGCCGCGGUAAAAC